rnacentral:rRNA from 1 species
UACGGAGGGUGCGAGCGUUGUCCGGAAUCACUGGGCGUAAAGGGCGCGUAGGCGGCCCUGGCAGUCGGUGGUGAAAGCCCGGGGCUCAACUCCGGAAUUGCCUUUAAGACUGCAUCGCUAGAAUUGUGGAGAGGUAAGUGGAAUUCCGAGUGUAGAGGUGAAAUUCGUAGAUAUUCGGAAGAACACCAGUGGCGAAGGCGACUUACUGGACACAUAUUGACGCUGAGGUGCGAAAGCGUGGGGAGCAAACAGG